rnacentral:tRNA from 1 species
GGAAAUAUGCCUGAACUUUAAGGGCUACUUUGAUAGAGUAUACUACAGGGGUUAAAAUCCCCUUAUUUCC